GGCAGAAAUACCUGCGCUUUCCUUCCUCUACGGUGAUUGGACCAGUGCCUUGUCGAUCUCACUCUCAUUUGUCCACACUACAGCGGGCCAUUCUCUGGAAGACUCUGUGUCCUCAUUGGCUAGCAGCAGUGGAAGAAGACCUCAUGGCCUGUGCGAAUGGACACAUGCCUCAAUCAUAUACUGGAGACCCCUCAGUGACCUCAGUGGAAAACAUCUCCAACCUACUGUCCAAACAUGAAGGUCCUGUAGUUGUGUGUUUACCAGAUAUGACCAGAGAAGCAGCAGUGAGCAUCCACCCUCUCCACUUGAUUAAACAAAUUGCACAGUGCCAAGUGGACAACAAAAGGGUGAGUGUUAUUUCUUUCGGGUCUGGCUGUCAUGGAGAUGCUGUUCUCUCAGCUCUGGACAUCGCUGUCCAAAAUGGCCACUGGUUAGUGCUGAACAACUGUCAUCUGCUGGACUGUUGGGAUGUCAGAGUUGUGAACAAGUUAACACAAGUAGUGUCCUUCACUACAAAAGAUUUGGAGACAGAUGGUGGGCCUCUUCUAAACGCUAAGAAUGCAGGACGAUUUGUGCAUCCCCAGUUUAGAUUGUGGCUUAUAACCAAAGCUGACAGACCUCGCUCGGUCCCAGUUUCUGUUAGGAUUAGAGCCUUGCACUUGGCGUGUGAUUCCUCCUUGGACCUGAAGGAUGAACUGUGGUCCUCGAUAAAACAGACAAUCCCCAUGUUUUCUCCUGAAGCCUCUGUGCAGAUUCAGUGUGCCAUCCUGCAUUCUGUCCUGCUGCACAGACAAACAUUCAAACACACGGGCCAAGCACAGCUCUACUUUUGGACUCAGGAAGAUUUACAUGCUCUGAUUGACACAUAUCACCGCAUAGCCAAACACUGCAGUGAUUCCUCUAGAGCUUUGGAAUACAUAGCAGGUCACCUGGUUUAUGGGAGCCACGUGUCAGACCAUGCUGAUCUAGCAGCUGUGCAAAGUGUGGUUAGAGCUUGUCUGAGUCAACCGUCUACUUCAUGGGAGAGUGGUCAAUGCAUUCUUUCUGAUAUCAUUA
ensembl:processed_transcript